rnacentral:lncRNA from 1 species
AAAGUGCUGGGAUUACAGGUGUGAAUCAUUGUGCCUGGCCUGUGCACACUUUUUAUAAUGGGAUUUCUCUUCCUUACUUUUGAUGUCCCCUCUCUCAUACUUAGUUAACCAUUUUGAAUUCCACUUAGUAAGAAAAGUUUCCAUUUUCUUUUUCUUCAGGGGACUUAGAUAUGAUCUGCACCUAGAUGGUAAGAAGAUUUUCCAUAUUUUGAAGUAGAAACUUUCUGUAUGCCUGAAUCUUGCUGUCAAGAAUGUCUUGGCUAAUCAUGAAGGAAGAAUAUAAGAAUUUACAGUGGGUCAGCUUGUUCUGUGCUAACAUGGAAGUGACAAGAAGCUGGUGUCCCUCUACACAGAGGUCCCCACACUAAAUAUCAUCUUGGAUGUGCUUCACAUUGUUGCACAAAGGUGAUUUUUAAAAUUUGUAUGCAGCCAAGUCACUAUGAAUUAUCUUUAGUGAGUAAAGAGGAAGAUCGAACUGGUAACACUGUGGGUAAACAACUGAAAAAUAAUGUUAUCUUUCUCUGAACAUACUUGCACAAGACAAAUUCCAAAAAUAUUUUGACUACGUUAUUUUUGAAAAGGGUUUCCAGUAUUUCAAUGUGACUACUUUCACUAAUGGUACUUGCUUACCUAAAGUGCUUGUUAACAUGCAGUUUUGGAACUUCAUAGGUCUAUGCCCAUACUGACUUGUACUUGCUUAGUGUUGUUUUACAUUCUAGUUCAACAUCUAUUAUGUGAUAGACACUGGGGAUUAAUAGGCUGUGGUCUUUGCCCAUGAGGACCUCAAAACUUAGUUGAGAACACAGAAAUACAAAGAGUCCUGUGUGAAAAAUAAGUAUCGGUGUUAAGAUAAAGAAGCGGCAGUGGAAGACAGUGGAGGGACUGUCUGUUAGAGGGAGGAAUUUAUUGUGGUGUCGGCAAAGCCUUCUUUGGACUGAAGGAUGAAUUAUGAUUAGAAGUUCAUUAAGAGGAGGAGGGAAGGGGACUACAGGAGUCAUUCCAAGCCAAAGGAACAAAAGAUACAGGGACAGAAACAGCAAGAUAUGUUUGGGGGAAUCUCAAGUUAGUCAAUACUGUUAUUGUGUGAAGUUCACAACAGGGGCAGGGAGGACAGGAGAUGGGGCCCAAUGACGAAAAGGCCUUGUAUGUACCAUGUUUAGAAGUUUGAAUUUUAUCCUAUAGGAGUCAGGGAGAGGUUCUAUGGGUAGGAUUUCCCAUCCCAACAGGAUUGUAAACUCCCACAUCCAAUUAGUCACACCUCCAUUUUUUUUUUUUUCUGUUUCUUUAACAUUGUCUCGGAUUCAUUCCUUCUGAAAUCUACCUUAUUAGUUCAGGUCUUCUUAAAUUUGUGCCUGGACUGUUCACCAACUCUUGACUGGUCCUGGGGCUCCAGUUCACCUCUUGCUCCCAACAAUCAAUUUUCUACAGAAUUAUCAGAGCAAUCUUCCUUUCCAUCAAUCUCAACUCUGUUCAAAAACUUUCAAUAGUUUUAUGUGACCUAAGAGGUAGCUGCCUCCCCACCCUUUCAGCUUGCCAUUCAAGGCUGCAUAAUUUGGUCCCAACCCCCUUUCCGUCCUUGACUCCUCUCACUGCUAACAGAGACAGAACUCAUUUACUUACUCUUUUGACUGUACCUUUGCUUUCACGAGGGCUCUUUCCUGGAAUGAUAUGUCCAUACAACUAUUGUUGCUGUUCUUACUUUUAGCUCUUUUCUUAGAAGCCCACUUGUACCCAGGUUUGAUCACACCCCCUACUCUCCUGCCCUGGAAGUAACUACUAUUCUGGUUAUAGUCUCUUAAUAUCUAUAUCUAUAUAUAUGCAUCCACAGAUAAUGUGUAGUAUUGUCUUGAAAAAAAUAUACACAAAUGGUAUACUUUGUCUCCCUCUGUGAUUAGUUUUUUCACUAUCAUUUAGUUUUUAAGAUUUAUUCCUAUUGACAUAAAUAGCUAUAGUCUUUUCAAUUACUGUGUUGCAUUUCAUUUUAUAAAUAUACCAUACAUUAUUCAUCCAUUCCUCUAAGGGUGGGCAUUUAUGUUGUUUUCAAGGUUUUGCUAUUACAGUGUUACAACGAAUAUCCUUAGCUUAGCUGGUCUCCUUGUCUUAUACAAAUUUUACUGACCUUUCAAGAUCCCGCUUUCAUCCCAGCUCCUCUGGGAAAGCCUUCCCUGAAUCCCCCAGCCCACAGCGGCAAAGUCUUGGUACUCAAAGUUGCUUGUGCAUCUUUGGUAUCAUCCCACUGCCAAGCACACAGCUACGCAAAGUAAGGCACUUAAGAAAUAUUCGCUACACGGAUGAACAAAUGAAUGAAUGAAUGGGGCAGCACCACUCCGUAAUGGCUCUAUUCCUUUUUAAUGGACUUUGGCGCCUUGGCCCACUUUCCUUCUUUGACAGCACUGGUCCUACUCCAGAGCAUUCCUCUAGCUAGCAAAGCAGUGUGUGGAUGUGUGGGUGUAGGUGGCGAUACAGACCU